UCCACUUGUAGUGUCUCAGCCCAUGGACCAAUGUCAUAUUGACUGAAUAAAACAAUUUGACUUGGAGGAAGUUUGAUACAUGCUGGAUGAGAAAAAGUGUCUAAGCAGCUUUGAGGAACCAGGCAGAGUAGGAUCAACACUGUUUUCUUGUGGCACCUCUUGAGCCAUUCAGUGGUUCUCAAAUAUCCAACAAGAGACACAGAGCAUGAGUGGGGGAGAGGCCAAGAGAAGAGGGAG